UCUUCCCCUAGAGGCUUUGCAGUUGUGGCUUCAGUAUGACAUGUACAUCAGUGGGUAGAAGAGAAGAGAGAGGCUAUGUCUACGCUAAGUGUUCCAAACUAUAAAUAUCUGAAUGAUUAGUAGCCUAACACU